GCGCCGGUGGUGUAAGGCGAACAUCGCUGCCCGGAAAGCAGAAGGCGUGGGUUCGAGUCCCGCCUGGCGCA
rnacentral:tRNA from 1 species